UAGGGAUGGUUUGGCUCCGUCGAUGACAGGUGCAGAAACUUCUGCAAUGUAUGGUGUAUUUAAGCUAGUCCCACUGAUGUGUUUCAUUUCAUUGGCGAGUUGUCGAACGGCAG
rnacentral:rRNA from 14 species